rnacentral:rRNA from 1 species
GCACAAGCAGCGGAGCGUGUGGUUUAAUUCGUUGCUACACGAAGAACCUUACCUGGGUUUGACAUAUAGGUUGUAGGGAACUGAAAAGGGACCGACCCUUCGGGGAGCCUAUACAGGUGUUGCAUGGCUGUCGUCAGCUCGUGUCGUGAGAUGUUCGGUUAAGUCCGCUAACGAGCGCAACCCUCGUCGUAUGUUAUAUGUGUCAUACGAGACUGCCGGUAAAAGCCGGAGGAAGGUGAGGAUGAUGUCAAGUCAGCAUGACCUUUAUAUCCAGGGCUACACACACGCUACAAUGGUCUGUACAAUGGGUAGCCAAGCCGCGAGGCGGAGCCAAUCCUGAAAGCAGGCCUCAGUUCAGAUUGCAGGCUGCAACUCGCCUGCAUGAAGUUGGAGUUGCUAGUAAACGCAGGUCAGCCAUACUGCGUUGAAUACGUUCCCGGGGCUU